AUUGAACGCUGGCGGCAUGCCUUACACAUGCAAGUCGAACGGCAGCAUGGAGAGCUUGCUCUCUGAUGGCGAGUGGCGAACGGGUGAGCAAUGCAUCGGAACGUACCGUGUAAUGGGGGAUAACGUAGCGAAAGUUACGCUAAUACUGCAUACGACCUGAGGGUGAAAGCAGGGGAUCGCAAGACCUUGCGUUAUACGAGCGGCCGAUGUCAGAUUAGCUAGUUGGUGAGGUAAAGGCUCACCAAGGCGACGAUCUGUAGCGGGUCUGAGAGGAGGAUCCGGCACACUGGGAGUGAGACACGGCCCAGACUCCUACGGGAGGCAGCAGUGGGGAAUUUUGGACAAUGGGGGAAACCCUGAUCCAGCCAUGCCGCGUGAGUGAAGAAGGCCUUCGGGUUGUAAAGCUCUUUCGGCCGGGAAGAAAUCGCACAGGCUAAUACUCUGUGUGGAUGACGGUACCGGCAUAAGAAGCACCGGCUAACUACGUGCCAGCAGCCGCGGUAA
rnacentral:rRNA from 1 species